UUGUGGCUCACUUUGAUCCGAACACGCCUUGUAGUGACUUGCGGGGCAGGGCUGAGAGACUCGGUACCGGGGAGUCGCGGGAGUCGGGAACACACUGCCGAGCCGCCACCUGCCCUCCUGCCUGCACAUUUCCUUUGAGCAGAGCCUUUGAGGGCUGCGAAGCUGGAGGAGUUAGGGCACCGCCCUAAGGAAGUCUCCCGCCGGCCCGGGUCCGCGACUGCGCUCGCGACAACAGGACCGGGUCACCAUCCUCCCGCCUGGCCUCAGCUCCCUGAUCCUUCUCCGAGCGAGCGACGGACCGGCCUCUGCCCACCACACGUUCCUUGUGAAAGCAGGCCGUGGGCGGUGCCCGGGCUUCAGCCUUCCCAGAAGCCGCUUUUCCUGGGGCUCUUGAGUUGAGGAGAGCACUCCCUGCCGUUUCCCCCAAAGCAGGUGAUUAUGAAGUCUUCAUCAAUCUGAAAGGGGGUUCAAGACUGCAGGAAAACUCUGUCUUUACGGAGAGACGAGCGGAGUCUGGUUCCCACUAAGUGUGGUAUUGUCGCUGGUCCCUCGCCAGUUCUGCUCUUCAUUCAUCUUCUUCAAUUCUCCCCCCAAAGGGCAACUCAAUUGUGGGCUAAAUAAAACUUUAAUUUACAUUAUUAUGGAAUCAAAGCUACUGUUCACGGUGUCCCUGUGUAGUAUAACGCAGCGGUAUUUCCUUUACCAGCCUUUUGUUUUUCCCGGGAUCAGUUAUUAUGAAAUGUGGUUUAUUAAGCUUUCUAUGUACUCAUGAUCCAUUAAUGUCCCCUCUAAUGCGCUGUCCGAACUGUAAAUAUUCACAAUGUCUUCCUAAUACGAUCGUGACUGCGGAACGGUUGAAUAGGAAGCCAAUUGCACAACUGUUGUUCUAGGGUUUCUCUUCACUGUCGUCCUGGGAUUUCAGCUCUUGUGUGAGUCCCUUGUGAUCUGGAUUCUGUAUUUAUUUUUCCUUUAGUUUGGUAGGGCACAUUCUCCAGUAACUUUCUGAAAAGGGGUAAGAUGAUAAAAAAAAAUUAAAGAUCUUAAUUGUCUCAAAAUUUCUUUGGUUGAUCACCUCACUUGAUUAAUGUGGUAAUUUGUCUGAUUAUAUGAUUCUUUUUGCUUGUUAGGUUUUGGUUUUUCAAGACAGGGUUUCUCUAUUUUUGAUAUUCUGAAAAGGCAGGAAGACAUGCCUUAAUGUGUGUCUUUUCAUUCAUUGAGCUGGGUAGCCCGGCUCAGUUUAGCUAGGUUUGGGUUUAGUUCUGGAAAUGUUUUUGUGUUGCUUAGUUUCCCUUCACAUUGUUCAUUCUGUUUCUGUUCCAGCUUCAUUUCUCUUGUUGUGAUAAAAACACUCAGACAAAAGCAACUCAGCGGAGACGGGAUCUGCUUUAGAUGGCAAUUUCAGGCUGCAUGCACAGUCCAUUAUUGUGGGGAAGUCAAGGUGGCAGGAACUUGAGAACAGCUAGUCUCAGGCAAGGGGGGGAGG
rnacentral:lncRNA from 1 species